CUGUCCUUUUAAAUAUGAAAUAAUCUCAUAUGUUUGUUUCGUCAACAGAGCUUUGUGCUGUGAUGCUGAGAUGAUGUGGCCACGGGCAGGAGUCACGGAAGGCAUUACAACAGCAUCACAACAGGACCUCAGAAACAACUCACUUGUCUGCAAGAGUACAAAAAAAACAGAAUGUGUUAUCCCUGCGCAACCUUCCUCAUCACCACUCAGCUUCUGAAAGCAGAACCUUCAAUUAUAGCUUUCCAUACACAUCCACUGGGAGCCCCCUAAACAGCUGAUGGAGAUGCCUCGAUGGAACUGCUUUGUAGUGGUAAUAGCAGCUCAGUGUUUCAGGUGACGGUUGAAGCCUUGAGGGGUUUAUUAGCUGUACUGCUCCUUCCCUAGAGCUGAAUAGUGCUGACUCUGACACUAUUUACUGAAGCUGCAGUAAUGCAUCCAACACCUGAGUGUGUGUUGAAUUGGGUGUUUUUGGUUACUAUUGCUCACACUUAGAUAUAGCUAAAGGGGUUCAUUUUCCUUCAAAGGAAGUUGUGACACACUCACAGAGGUUGCUUCUCUAACAAACAUUAAAGGAACAGUUCAGUGUAAAAAUGAAACUGGGUAAAAUGGAUAGACUUCUAGAAUUCUAUUAAAGAUUUUCUAUUGAAUUAAGGGUACUGUACCCAAAUCAUCUUUCAUGUAGCAUCAUUUUAUGAUUAUGUUUUCUUUUUGUAUUUUUUUCUUUUAAAAAAAUAUGUGCCUUCUCUGGGUGACCUUUCAGCUCAGGAAAUGGAUGGUGAUCUGUGUAGUUUAGUAAGAAAGCGAAAGAGCUUACUACCUGGUGAUAUGGUAUUAUAGGGUGAAGGGUGAGUGGAAGUAUAAAAUGGGUAUUUCGUGUUGCCACUGUUGUGGAGUGUUUUAUUUAGCAUAACCUUUGUUAUCAGUAGCAUCAUCUGCACCCAAUAUCACAAGCUUGCUGUCUGUGGCUUAGUUUAAAUCUCUCACACUCUUCCAUCCAUUAUAUUUUGUCAUCAUAUUUUUCUGGGCAAAAUACUGCCUGAAAAUACUGUUUUGCUUUGUUCUUACAUCUGCCAAUAUCUCAACAAGGACGGUCUGAAUAGCCACCUUGUAAAGGAAGCAUUGUCCUAUUUUAUAGGUAAUCUUUUAGCUAUGCCAAUAGUGUUGGUUGUUCCCUAUUUACACACUGCCAUGUUUACCUACAUUAUGUUCAUGAAAUCUGUAAUAUACUAUGUAAAGUAAUGGUUCUAGAGAAAUAAAAACAUACACUGAAAGCCCAA